GGGUGGGAACUGAGUUACCGGUUCACAAAAACUUCGGUCUUUGCGAACUGAGGAAAGUCUGCCCACCACACAAAGGCGGCUCACUUUAUUUGUGAGAUUCAGCAAUGGAUGGCAACGUCACAGAAACGAACCCGUGAACGUCAAGGAUGACGCGUGACUCCCGAGGCGACUUGGGCACACACGCAGACGUUUCGCUCGCGAGGAUGAAACGGACAGCCCCCGCCGGUGCAAGCACCAUUCGCGUGCGCUCAGUAGAAUACUCAGGAACGGCCCGUCCCGACCGGUCAUUCGGUCAUCAAUGACUAUCAUUGAUUGGGGGCCAACAAAAGGCAGCUUACUCCCACCC
rnacentral:RNase_P_RNA from 1 species